rnacentral:rRNA from 1 species
UACGGAAUGUGCAAACGUUAUUCGGAAUCACUGGGCUUAAAGAGUCCGUAGGCGGCUUUGCAAGUGACGGGUGAAAUCCCUCGGCUUAACCGAGGAACUGCCUGUCAAACUGCAUGGCUUGAGACCGGGAGAGGUGAGUGGAAUUCCCAGUGUAGCGGUGAAAUGCGUAGAUAUUGGGAGGAACACCAGUGGCGAAGGCGGCUCACUGGACCGGUACUGACGCUGAUGCGCGAAAGCGUGGGGAGCAAACAGG